rnacentral:rRNA from 1 species
AUUGAACGCUGGCGGCAUGCCUUACACAUGCAAGUCGAACGGUAACAGGUUAAGCUGACGAGUGGCGAACGGGUGAGUAAUACAUCGGAACGUGCCCAGACGUGGGGGAUAGCUCGGCGAAAGCCGGAUUAAUACCGCAUAAGCUCUGAGGAGGAAAGCGGGGGACCGUAAGGCCUCGCGCGUUUGGAGCGGCCGAUGGCAGAUUAGGUAGUUGGUGGGGUAAAGGCUUACCAAGCCUACGAUCUGUAGCUGGUCUGAGAGGACGACCAGCCACACUGGGACUGAGACACGGCCCAGACUCCUACGGGAGGCAGCAGUGGGGAAUUUUGGACAAUGGGCGCAAGCCUGAUCCAGCAAUGCCGCGUGCAGGAAGAAGGCCUUCGGGUUGUAAACUGCUUUUGUACGGAACGAAACGGUCCUGGUUAAUACCUGGGGCUAAUGACGGUACCGUAAGAAUAAGCACCGGCUAACUACGUGCCAGCCGCCGCUGUAAUAC